UACGUAGGGGGCAAGCGUUGUCCGGAUUUAUUGGGCGUAAAGAGCGUGUAGGCGGUUUGGUAGGUCCGCUGUGAAAACUCGAGCUCAACCUCGAGACGCCGGUGGAAACCAUCAGACUAGAGUCCGGAAGAGGAGAGUGGAAUUCCUGGUGUAGCGGUGAAAUGCGCAGAUAUCAGGAAGAACACCCGUGGCUAAGGCGGCUCUCUAGUACGGUACUGACGCUGAGACGCGAAAGCGUGGGGAGCGAACAGGAUUA
rnacentral:rRNA from 1 species